rnacentral:lncRNA from 1 species
UCGUCCUGAUGGUGACAAAACCCGGCCACCCAACAAGGUCGGAUGAAGGAAAAAAGCCCCUCAGCGGCACCUCCACGCUCCUAUGCAACCCCGCAAAAAGCGAGGGUAGGGCCCUCACUCUGAGAAGAAAAGAAAAAUUAAAAAGGAAGGGUGACGAGCUACGACGGAAACAGAUGAAGGACGGACCGCACCAAAGACAGGGAGUUCCUACCAAACACCCCC